rnacentral:lncRNA from 1 species
AGGAACAAAACCUGGGCGCCAGCAAGCAUUUUCGAGGGAGCCUUGCGCUAGGCGCUUCUGAGACUAGUGGGCGGGACAGCCUCUGCGGAGGCCCCGUUUCCGGGGCGUCUACGGAAGGGGCGGGCACUUCCGGUCAGGGAGGGACGCGGGGAGCGGGCCCAGUGUAGCCGAGUGGUGUGUGUCUGUGGAUCCCAGGCUGUGAUGGCUGGUAGAGUGUUACGUCUCCUAGUUGUGCUGGAAGCGGUUUCUCGGACUCAUUCUCUGUAACCGGGCGAGGAGGGGUGGCCUUUAGGGUUCGCCUUGAUCGGAGGGGUCCGGUUCCUGCGCUCCCACCCGGGCCGCAUAAUCUCUCCGAGCACCUUUCCUUCCUCUUGGUUAUGGCUUGACGAACCCUUAAGGACUCGUCGGCCAACGUUGUGGCACAUUCAGGAGAAGGACGAGGACCCUUUACUCGAGGGGAGUAAAGACAGUACUUGGAAGAUGACGGGUCUAGUCGUCCUUGAGUGA